rnacentral:lncRNA from 1 species
CUUUGUCCAUUAUUUUGUAGGUCCACGAAGACAGUCUACAUUGACAUCCUAGGUUCAGCAGCAAUAGGCUUGAUGCAGGAUAAGGAAUUGAGACCGAAAAGCAAAAAGUGAAGACGGCUACCAAGAACUAGGAUGUGAACAGACGAGAUUGACAAUUUAAAGACUAAAAUUAAUGGCAGCAAUUGUGAAGUAGAAAUAGUUGCAGUGACGCUAAUAAAAAAUAACAGGUGUCAAUAUGAGCAGAAAAUAGUUGUCUGGCAGCUAAAAAACAAUAUAUAAAUACUAAAUUGUAAUUCCGAGCAUAGGCCUUUCACCAACCAAUGAUCAUCUAUUGCUAUUUUAUGUUUCAAUUAUUUUCGAUUAUCUUUCUUUAUCUCUUAGUUUGCAGUUUCUAGCCCCUAGUAAAUAGCACCAUGGUUACUAUUCCCUUUUCUGAAAAGUUAGCACCUAGUUGAACGUCAAAGCAACGGAACCUACCUCCAUCUAUGCUUUCUAGUUCAGACAACAGCAUCACAUCCACAAAUCUAUCCAGCCCUACCAUCAAUUAUUUCCACCUUUUCCACUAGAAUUGCAGGGUUAUUGUAAUGCUUAAUACCCU